rnacentral:rRNA from 1 species
CCGGUGUAGCGGUGGAAUGCGUAGAUAUCGGGAGGAACACCAGUGGCGAAGGCGGUCUACUGGGCACCAACUGACGCUGAGGCUCGAAAGCAUGGGUAGCAAACAGGAUUAGAUACCCUGGUAGUCCAUGCCGUAAACGAUGAUUACUAGGUGUUGGAGGAUUGACCCCUUCAGUGCCGCAGUUAACACAAUAAGUAAUCCACCUGGGGAGUACGACCGCAAGGUUGAAACUCAAAGGAAUUGACGGGGGCCCGCACAAGCAGUGGAGUAUGUGGUUUAAUUCGAAGCAACGCGAAGAACCUUACCAGGUCUUGACAUCCUACUAACGAGAUAGAGAUAUGUUAGGUGCCCUUCGGGGAAAGUAGAGACAGGUGGUGCAUGGUUGUCGUCAGCUCGUGUCGUGAGAUGUUGGGUUAAGUCCCGCAACGAGCGCAACCCUUAUUGCCAGUUACUACGUUAAGAGGACUCUGGCGAGACUGCCGUUGACAAAACGGAGGAAGGUGGGGAUGACGUCAAAUCAUCAUGCCCUUUAUGACUUGGGCUACACACGUACUACAAUGGCGUUAAACAAAGAGAAGCAAGACCGCGAGGUGGAGCAAAACUCAAAAACAACGUCUCAGUUCAGAUUGCAGGCUGCAACUCGCCUGCAUGAAGUCGGAAUUGCUAGUAAUCGCGGAUCAGCAUGCCGCGGUGAAUACGUUCCCGGGCCUUGUACACACCGCCCGUCACACCAUGAGAGCCGGGGGGACCCGAAGUCGGUAGUCUAACCGCAAGGAGGACGCCGCCGAAGGUAAAACUGGUGAUUGGGGUGAAGUCGUAACAAGGUAGCCGUAUCGGAAGGUGCGGCUG